rnacentral:lncRNA from 1 species
CCUCUUCCAACCAUAUUGCUUUGGACUCAUUUGCCAACUUAGGCACCAUUAAAAAUUCCCAUAGUUUAUAAAUAUAAAAUCUCAAGAACUUCAUAAUUAUCAACUUGAGGCCUAAUAUUGGAGUCGUAUUCACUUUUUCUACUAUAUUAAUUAUGCUUACUAAUGUUGGAGUUGAAUUUUAGUUGCUCACUCCAACUUGGGGAUUCAUUACUUGCUCCCUUCAUACCCUUGAUUACAAUCUGUAUACAUCACAAAUUUGUUCCCGUUGUCUUUUUAAAUAAACUCUCAUUUCAUUGAAUGUUAU